AUUAAUUUGAGAGUUUGAUCCUGGCUCAGGACGAACGCUGGCGGCGUGCCUAAUACAUGCAAGUCGAACGAACUCUGGUAAUGAUUGGUGCUUGCAUCAUGAAUUACAUUUGAGUGAGUGGCGAACUGGUGAGUAACACGUGGGAAACCUGCCCAGAAGCGGGGGAUAACACCUGGAAACAGAUGCUAAUACCGCAUAACAACUUGGACCGCAUGGUCCGAGUUUGAAAGAUGGCUUCGGCUAUCACUUUUGGAUGGUCCCGCGGCGUAUUAGCUAGAUGGUGAGGUAACGGCUCACCAUGGCAAUGAUACGUAGCCGACCUGAGAGGGUAAUCGGCCACAUUGGGACUGAGACACGGCCCAAACUCCUACGGGAGGCAGCAGUAGGGAAUCUUCCACAAUGGACGAAAGUCUGAUGGAGCAACGCCGCGUGAGUGAAGAAGGGUUUCGGCUCGUAAAACUCUGUUGUUAAAGAAGAACAUAUCUGAGAGUAACUGUUCAGGUAUUGACGGUAUUUAACCAGAAAGCCACGGCUAACUACGUGCCAGCAGCCGCGGUAAUACGUAGGUGGCAAGCGUUGUCCGGAUUUAUUGGGCGUAAAGCGAGCGCAGGCGGUUUUUUAAGUCUGAUGUGAAAGCCUUCGGCUCAACCGAAGAAGUGCAUCGGAAACUGGGAAACUUGAGUGCAGAAGAGGACAGUGGAACUCCAUGUGUAGCGGUGAAAUGCGUAGAUAUAUGGAAGAACACCAGUGGCGAAGGCGGCUGUCUGGUCUGUAACUGACGCUGAGGCUCGAAAGUAUGGG
rnacentral:rRNA from 2 species